rnacentral:rRNA from 1 species
GAUGAACGCUGGCGGCGUGCCUAAUACAUGCAAGUCGAGCGAACAGACGAGGAGCUUGCUCCUCUGACGUUAGCGGCGGACGGGUGAGUAACACGUGGAUAACCUACCUAUAAGACUGGGAUAACUUCGGGAAACCGGAGCUAAUACCGGAUAAUAUAUUGAACCGCAUGGUUCAAUAGUGAAAGACGGUUUUGCUGUCACUUAUAGAUGGAUCCGCGCCGCAUUAGCUAGUUGGUAAGGUAACGGCUUACCAAGGCGACGAUGCGUAGCCGACCUGAGAGGGUGAUCGGCCACACUGGAACUGAGACACGGUCCAGACUCCUACGGGAGGCAGCAGUAGGGAAUCUUCCGCGAAGGGCGAAAGCCUGACGGAGCAACGCCGCGUGAGUGAUGAAGGUCUUCGGAUCGUAAAACUCUGUUAUUAGGGAAGAACAAAUGUGUAAGUAUCUAUGCACGUCUUGACGGUACCUAAUCAGAAAGCCACGGCUAACUACGUG